rnacentral:rRNA from 1 species
CAUCCUACGGGAGGCAGCAGUGGGGAAUAUUGGACAAUGGGCGCAAGCCUGAUCCAGCCAUGCCGCGUGAGUGAUGAAGGCCCUAGGGUUGUAAAGCUCUUUCACCGGUGAAGAUAAUGACGGUAACCGGAGAAGAAGCCCCGGCUAACUUCGUGCCAGCAGCCGCGGUAAUACGAAGGGGGCUAGCGUUGUUCGGAUUUACUGGGCGUAAAGCGCACGUAGGCGGACUAUUAAGUCAGGGGUGAAAUCCCGGGGCUCAACCCCGGAACUGCCUUUGAUACUGGUAGUCUUGAGUUCGAGAGAGGUGAGUGGAAUUCCGAGUGUAGAGGUGAAAUUCGUAGAUAUUCGGAGGAACACCAGUGGCGAAGGCGGCUCACUGGCUCGAUACUGACGCUGAGGUGCGAAAGCGUGGGGAGCAAACAGGAUUAGAUACCCCAGUAGUCCCA